rnacentral:rRNA from 1 species
UACAGAGGGUGCAAGCGUUAAUCGGAAUUACUGGGCGUAAAGCGCGCGUAGGUGGUUUGUUAAGUUGGAUGUGAAAUCCCCGGGCUCAACCUGGGAACUGCAUUCAAAACUGACAAGCUAGAGUAUGGUAGAGGUGGUGGAAUUUCCUGUGUAGCGGUGAAAUGCGUAGAUAUAGGAAGGAACACCAGUGGCGAAGGCGACCACCUGGACUGAUACUGACACUGAGGUGCGAAAGCGUGGGGAGCAAACAGGA